rnacentral:rRNA from 1 species
AACGAACGCUGGCGGCAGGCUUAACACAUGCAAGUCGAACGCAUCCUUCGGGGUGAGUGGCAGACGGGUGAGUAACGCGUGGGAACGUGCCCUUCAGUUCGGGAUAACCCAGGGAAACUUGGGCUAAUACCGGAUACGUGCGAGAGCAGAAAGAUUUAUCGCUGAAGGAUCGGCCCGCGUCUGAUUAGCUAGUUGGUGAGGUAAUGGCUCACCAAGGCGACGAUCAGUAGCUGGUCUGAGAGGAUGAUCAGCCACACUGGGACUGAGACACGGCCCAGACUCCUACGGGAGGCAGCAGUGGGGAAUAUUGGACAAUGGGCGCAAGCCUGAUCCAGCCAUGCCGCGUGAGUGAUGAAGGCCUUAGGGUUGUAAAGCUCUUUCAGUGGGGACGAUAAUGACGGUACCCGCAGAAGAAGCCCCGGCUAACUUCGUGCCAGCAGCCGCGGUAAUACGAAGGGGGCUAGCGUUGUUCGGAAUCACUGGGCGUAAAGGGCGCGUAGGCGGCUUUAUAAGUCGGGGGUGAAAGCCUGUGGCUCAACCACAGAAUUGCCUUCGAUACUGUAUGGCUUGAGACCGGAAGAGGUUAGUGGAACUGCGA